rnacentral:rRNA from 1 species
UAUUGGACAAUGGGCGCAAGCCUGAUCCAGCCAUACCGCGUGGGUGAAGAAGGCCUUCGGGUUGUAAAGCCCUUUUGUUGGGAAAGAAAAGCAGCCGGUUAAUACCCGGUUGUUCUGACGGUACCCAAAGAAUAAGCACCGGCUAACUUCGUGCCAGCAGCCGCGGUAAUACGAAGGGUGCAAGCGUUACUCGGAAUUACUGGGCGUAAAGCGUGCGUAGGUGGUUGUUUAAGUCUGUCGUGAAAGCCCUGGGCUCAACCUGGGAAUUGCGAUGGAAACUGGGCGACUAGAGUGUGGCAGAGGGUAGUGGAAUUCCUGGUGUAGCAGUGAAAUGCGUAGAGAUCAGGAGGAACAUCCGUGGCGAAGGCGACUGCCUGGGCCAACACUGACACUGAGGCACGAAAGCGUGGGGAGCAAACAGGAUUAGAUACCCUGGUAGUCCACGCCCUAAACGAUGCGAACUGGAUGUUGGGUGCAAUUUG